rnacentral:rRNA from 2 species
AUACUAGGACGUUCAAUUUAACUUGAAGUCCGAACUCUCACUUUCUAACCCUGUGCAUUUGUUUUGGUUAGUAGAGCGCUUGCGUUCGAACACCUCUUCAUUUACAAACACCAGUCUAUGAAUGUAUAAAAUCAUAACAAAACAAAACUUUCAACAACGGAUCUCUUGGCUCUCGCAUCGAUGAAGAACGCAGCGAAAUGUGAUAAGUAAUGUGAAUUGCAGAAUUCAGUGAAUCAUCGAAUCUUUGAACGCAUCUUGCACUCUUUGGUAUUCCGAAGAGUAUGUCUGUUUGAGUGUCAUGAAUUCUUCAACCCUCCCUUUUCUUAGUGAAUCGAGAGGUGUUUGGAUUCUGAGUGUUGCUCCUUACCCGAGCUCAUUCGUAAUGCAUUAGCAUCCAUAUUCGAAUUUCGGAUUGACUUGGCGUAAUAGACUAUUCGCUGAGGAAUCUAACUUCGGUUAGAGCCGUGUUUGAACUAGGAAGCUUCUAAUCUAGCUUAGUCUACUUUUAGAUUAGACCUCAAAUCAGGCAGGAUUACCCGCUGAACUUAAGC